UACGUAGGGUGCAAGCGUUGUCCGGAAUUAUUGGGCGUAAAGAGCUCGUAGGCGGUUUGUCGCGUCGAAUGUGAAAACCCGGGGCUCAACUCCGGGCCUGCAUUCGAUACGGGCAGACUAGAGUUCGGUAGGGGAGUCUGGAAUUCCUGGUGUAGCGGUGAAAUGCGCAGAUAUCAGGAGGAACACCGGUGGCGAAGGCGGGGCUCUGGGCCGAUACUGACGCUGAGGAGCGAAAGCGUGGGGAGCAAACAGG
rnacentral:rRNA from 1 species